AGGUCCCCAGGAAGCAACUUAUCUGUUUCUGGCUGCCAGUGAGAUGCGGAGACUGCUGCUUGCACUUGUAGGAGAUGGCGUAAGGCAUCGUGCGGGGACAGCGUGGGUGCAGAGUGGUUCAGUUUAGAGCUGGCAUAAUGGAUUGCGCAGAAGAAGCUGCAUUUGUAGUUGCAUAACAAGAAUUUUUACUUGGUUCUACAACACCUAGGAACAAUGUAUUCAUGUGCGUCAUCUACUGGCACCUUAUGCAUUAGCUAGCUAUUACAUAUGGGUAUGGACAGGGUGCCCUCUUGUAACAGGGCCAUGUACUCUGAAGGGAAUACAGUCUCAGCACGAUAUGGCUUCGACGAUCAUGAGGAACUGGUGGAGCCGGACCGCAUGACUGAAAAUGGCGUGAAAAGCUGCAAGAUGGCCACCGCGCAUGCACGGUCCAGCAGACAAUGGCUAAAAGAUCUCUGAUCUGCAGUGCCGAGAAGAGCCUGACACCCACAGUGGAGCACCCACGGGGACACACACCUGGAAGAACCAUCAUUAUUGCACAGGGAGCCGUUGGUGAAUUGUGGUUUGCCCAGAACAUAGUCCUGGGAAGAGUUGAGACUGGCUAGUCUUCUUUUGAGCAAGUGACCACUCAUGGAUUUAAAAGUAGCCAUUCUUCUAUAAAGGAACAUUUACACCUAGUUACAGAGAGAGACUGCGGAGCUGGAAUUCAUCUACAAAUUUAACACUGUUACCCUGGGCUUAAAUAAAGACAUUAACUGGUUAACUCACUGCAAAGCCAGUUUCCCCUGCCUUUGACAUCUGUAUUUCCAUAUUAAAAGCUAUGUAUGGGACACAACCAGUCCCCUAGGGCCUCAUUAACAGGGACCCACUAAUUGACAUGUACUUCUUUUGUUGUUUUAUAUAUCUUGGAUUCUGUUAUUUCCAAUCCAGCUCAUCUGAUUAAGUGGGUUUUACCCACAAUAAAUCAGGAUCCUAUAUAUUUUAGCUAGUCUCUAAGGUGCCACAGGACUACUCUUUUUUUUAAAAAAAAGUAGAUGUAGCCAUCAGAAUCUCUCCGUGGUUGGGAGACCCAUCAGGAUGGAGGGAAGGAUGACAUGGAUUUUUCAGGACCAUGGAGAGAUCACACCAGGUUAAAUGUCUCAGAGGGGGAGCGGUAUUAGUCUGUAUCUGCAAAGACCAAGAGUCCAGUGGCACCUUAGAGAUGAACAGAUUUAUUAGGGCAUAAGCUUUUGUCAAGUGCGUUUUACCCAUGAAAACCUAUGCCGCAAUAAAUCUGUUAGUCUCUAAGAUGCCACAGGACUCCUCAUUGUUUUUACCAAACUAAAUGACAUUUAUGCUGCUUGUUUCAGGAAGGGCACAGGCCAUGUUUUCUGACCUCUUGGUGUAAAUUGAGAGCAACUGUACUGAACUGGAGUUAAACUGAUAUAAACCCAUUCUGAGAUAAGAUACAACCAUUUAAAUUUAUGCUGCACACUACAGCACUUGAAAAAAGAUGUCUCAAAAAUGUACCUCUUGGCUAUUGUUUUAAUAAGAAGUGUUCAGCUUCUCUGUCAUAUAUAUCGAGCUCCUGGGAAUAUUUUUAUUACUUAAUAGGGCUUCCAGCCAUGGACGUCAGCAUGAUGGUACCUUUAUGCUUAGUUAAAUGACAGGAAAAGAGCAACACUUAGGGAUGUCAUCCAGAAGGACAUUUAUUGUUUAAUCUUGCAUAGUCCUGAGUGCUCUAGAGUCCUAUUGAUGGGAGAAUGUCAAGCAUCCUCAGAGAGCAUCCUGCAGUGUAGCUCCUUUCCGGCUCUUCUCCAUCGCGUCAAGAUCUGACCUGCCUGGGCGUAAUUCAGUCACCUGUGACUUAUGAAGCAUGGAGCACCAUUGUUUUGCAAACCAAGCUCUGCUGUGAUGACAGCUACCUCUUAUCUCUUUUGCAGGGGCAGUUCUCCUAAGCAACCAAUACUCUGUGGAAGGACUGUGAAAUGUUCCAAAUAAAUCUGAGAGACAACACCAUUUGAAUACUGUAAUGGGGUGGCACUCGCCUCUCAAGAGCGCUCCCUUGGGCUGAGUACGUGUGCCUGCACUCUCUCUGUUCAUCAGCUGAAAGCCUCUUCGGCAACUCAGCCUAAUGUGAAUCAAACCCCUUACAGAGUACACCUUUAACCGGAGUCCAUCUUGGUGGCCUCUUGUCUGGUGUCUGAGGCCACAUUUAUACUUACUGUGCUGGAGAUUGAUUUUCUGGCAUUUGAUUUAGCAAUUGAACACUGGGGAUGGGUCCGGCUGGUGCUGGUAUUUCUGUCAGUUGCAAGGAGUAAGGGAAGCCAAGGGGAUUGUUUGUCGCAGGGUCUCUCCUCUCUCUGUGAAGCCGGCACCAAGCUCAGCUUAAGUUAUGCCAAUUCCAGGUAUGUAUUUUACGUACCUUAACCCAACCUUCUAGGUUUUUUGUAGGCUCCACCCUUGAUGGUUCUCCCUGCCCUUGCCUAUGGGAAUGGGGCAAUAACGCUUGGAGGAGAUCUCUUCCCACACAGAAGAUAGGUAGCUCCCACUGUGGAGUAGGAAUGUGCCUUAUGCCACCUUACUCGGCUGUUCCUUGGGUGUGCAAGGUGAGAUCUGUUGAUGGCAG